rfam:Triticum aestivum genome assembly, contig: Triticum_aestivum_CS42_TGACv1_scaffold_374088_5AL
AACCUACUCCCUCCGUCCGGAAAUACUUAUCUUCAAAAUGAUUGUAAAUGAAUGUAUCUAUAAUUAAAGUAAGUCUAGAUACAAUCAUUUUAAAGGCAAGUAUUUCCUAACGGAGGGAGUACUUG